UACGGAGGGUGCGAGCGUUAUCCGGAUUUAUUGGGUUUAAAGGGUGCGUAGGCGGAUCGUUAAGUCAGUGGUCAAAUUGAGGGGCUCAACCCCUUCCCGCCAUUGAAACUGGCGCUCUUGAGUGGAAGAGAAGUAUGCGGAAUGCGUGGUGUAGCGGUGAAAUGCAUAGAUAUCACGCAGAACCCCGAUUGCGAAGGCAGCAUGCCGGCUUCCGACUGACGCUGAAGCACGAAAGCGUGGGGAUCGAACAGG
rnacentral:rRNA from 1 species